rnacentral:rRNA from 1 species
UACGUAGGGGGCAAGCGUUGUCCGGAUUUAUUGGGCGUAAAGAGCGUGUAGGCGGCCAGGUAGGUCGGUUGUGAAAACUCGAGGCUCAACCUCGAGACGUCGGCGGAAACCAUCUGGCUAGAGUCCGGAAGAGGAGAGUGGAAUUCCUGGUGUAGCGGUGAAAUGCGCAGAUAUCAGGAAGAACACCCGUGGCGAAGGCGGCUCUCUGGGACGGUACUGACGCUGAGACGCGAAAGCUAGGGGAGCGAACGGG